UAGGGAAUCUUCGGCAAUGGGGGGAACCCUGACCGAGCAACGCCGCGUGAGUGAAGAAGGUUUUCGGAUCGUAAAGCUCUGUUGUUAAGGAAGAACGAGUGUGAGAAUGGAAAGUUCAUGCUGUGACGGUACUUAACCAGAAAGGGACGGCUAACUACGUGCCAGCAGCCGCGGUAAUACGUAGGUCCCGAGCGUUGUCCGGAUUUAUUGGGCGUAAAGCGAGCGCAGGCGGUUAGAAAAGUCUGAAGUGAAAGGCAGUGGCUCAACCAUUGUAGGCUUUGGAAACUGUUUAACUUGAGUGCAGAAGGGGAGAGUGGAAUUCCAUGUGUAGCGGUGAAAUGCGUAGAUAUAUGGAGGAACACCGGUGGCGAAAGCGGCUCUCUGGUCUGUAACUGACGCGGAGGCUCGAAAGCGUGGGUAGCAAACAGG
rnacentral:rRNA from 1 species